CCCGCUGAACUUAAGCAUAUCAAUAAGCGGAGGAAAAGAAACUAACAAGGAUUCCCCUAGUAACUGCGAGUGAAGCGGGAAGAGCUCAAAUUUGAAAUCUGGCGGUCCCUUGGGCUGUCCGAGUUGUAAUCUAGAGAAGUGUUACCUGUGCUGGACCGUGUACAAGUCUCCUGGAAUGGAGCAUCACAGAGGGUGAGAAUCCCGUCUUUGACACGGACUGCCUGUGCGAUAUGGUGCGCUCUCGAAGAGUCGAGUUGUUUGGGAAUGCAGCUCAAAAUGGGUGGUAAAUGCCAUCUAAAGCUAAAUACUGGCGAGAGACCGAUAGCGAACAAGUACCGUGAGGGAAAGAUGAAAAGCACUUUGGAAAGAGAGUUAAACAGUACGUGAAAUUGUUGAAAGGGAAACGUUUGAAGUCAGUCGCGUCGGCCGGGACUCAGCCUUGCUAUCUUGCUUGGUGCACUUCUCGGUCGACGGGUCAGCAUCAAUUUUGACCGUCGGAUAAAGGCCGAGGGAACGUGGCAUCCUCCGGGGUGUGUUAUAGCCCUUGGUUCGCAUACGGCGAUCGGGAUUGAGGAACUCAGUGCGCCUUCAUUGGUCGGGGCUUUGCGGCUCACGUUAACGCGCUUAGGAUGCUGGCAUAAUGGCUUUAAGCGACCCGUCUUGAAACACGG
rnacentral:rRNA from 1 species